GGUAGUUUGUACAUCUCUCUGCCUAACUGACCUGUUCUCCAGGGAAUUGUGGGAGGGAUGUAUCCCACUGGUCAAUCGAGGAAGCCUGCAGUCAUAAUUCUGCUAAGAGACGCUUAUGUAGGAGAGCGGUCUCAAUUUGUGAUCUUCCCAAGUCCCUGAGCCUCGGUUGGGGGGGGGGGGAGAGGUCAGAAGCAGUCUGACCCAUGGAGGAUUAGCCUGUUAUUUCAGCCCUGACCCUCCAUGCCUCAGUGUUGCCAUUAUAACUGCACCAAUCAUCCGCAAGCAAAGGAAUUACACAAUUAAUGGCCAAUUAAAGAACCUUUUGGCACAAGGCUGUCUACACCAGGGGAUUCCAAUCAGGUGAAAAAGACAGGUGUGGGUACAGGCUUUUGUACUAGAUCAGCAUUAAAAGCAUUAAAACAACUGAUUCACCUAAUCAGGGUCUUGAUAGAAUUGCAUGAUUGGCUCAUUAGUUGAAUCGAUAAAUAGCCCCCCCACACAGAUAAUACUGCACCCCCUGUGGUAAUUGGGAUGAUUCACAGGGUACUGCAGUGAGCUGAUUGCUUAACAGGUGGCUUGUGUAUGAACUUCAGGGUAAAAGCAGUAAAGACGCACGGCCCUAACUAUGGACAAACUGUGCUGGGAAAUACCAUGGACUGCCUGCCGAACCACUCAACUUCCAUACGCUUAAUAAUUAUGGAAAAUGUCUUCCUCACCUUCGAAACAAUCAGCUGCUGAUUUUUCAGCACAAAUACAGCUGGCAGGAGGAGUAGGAGGUGGAGAAGGAGGAUGAAGAGGAGGAGGAGGAGGAGGAGGAGGAGGAGCAAAUUUAGCACCAUUCCAAAGGACCAACGCUGUGUAUGACGCAGGCGUGCCUGUGCUUAAGCUGUGGAUGAGGUACCCUGAGGUGAACCAUCCAGCCAAAAUGUGCAGCUGCCCGGAGUGAUUCCUGCAAUAAGUAAAAUCUGAAACUGCUGUGGAGAGAAGAGAGCCAGGUGGGAAAUGCCAGGAAAUGAAAAUCAAAUCAUUCAGAAGCAAAGAGCUGUUAUACAAAAUGACUCGGCGUGUUUCUGGCUGGAGAAUGAAGCGCUGCAAAGAAACACAGGAACGAUGAACCGGAUGAAACAGUGGUGAAACAGCAGUGAAAUGGAGGUGAAAUUGAGAUAGUUUUAUGGCUUUUCAAAGGGAGAGAAAGCCAUUGAUCCGUCUAAAGGUCACCCAGUCUCUGGAGAGGCUGUGACUGUAUUUGUCUGAGGUUAUGUAGGAUGUCUGAGCUGGAAGUGUGUUGACAAACUCAGGAUGAUGUGUACCACGGACAUCUGAGAGCAAUGUUUCUACAACUGUGGCAAUGCAUUUAAACUAAUUUAAUAUAAGCUGAGUGAUUGAUUGUCUGAUUUAUGAUUUUUUGCCUUUAAUUGCGCUUUGUACAGAAUGCUUUACUAAUCCUAUUUUUUAAAAACAUCAUAUUUUGACUGAUGAUUGAUUUGUUUAUUGACUAAUAGAUAAAAUGUUUAUUAGCAACUUCACUGAAACGUGGUAAACUUUGCGCUUUGUGUGUCAUUCUGUAACAGACCCAUUUAGAAAAAUGAAGCACGGUGACAGAUGAUUGAUUGAUUGAUUGACUGAUUGAUUGAUUGAUUGGUUGAAGUUUCUGACGUUCUGAUGGUAAGCAGAUUGAAAGUGCCUAGCCACUGUGGCACUGCAGGAUCAGGCCCAUGCCUGGCCUUCUCAGCUCGAUACCCACGUCUGACAAUUAAAACUGAUUCCAAACAGCCAAUAUUUGUUUCUGAGAGUGAUGGAGGGAUGUGGAAUGUGAAAUCAAACAAGCGUGGGCCAGUGAGAUCUUUCCAGCUUUUCUGAGUCUGUGAAAACAACUCUUUUCUUCUCUAAUUCAGCCUCCAAACCCCCUCCGCUCAGCCGAAGUGUAGCUGUGAUUUCCCAAGCAGGACUCAGACCAGAUGGUGGUCAUUGGGAACGUGUUAUUAUAGCUGAAAUCCAUCUACUCACACACUGUCAGCUGAAAAUACUGGUGGUCUUCAGCGACUGGCUACAGCUGGUUUCAUCCAGUUUUCCAGCAUGUUGUAUGUUUUGGCUACACUUUCUAGGGGUUAUAAAUGAAAUGUGUAAUAUCAGCGCAAUGAAGACGAUUACUUUACUUUUCUCAGUUGUGUGACUCAUUUGGCCAAUGCAGGUGAAUUUGAACCCAGAUGUCAAGCAACUCCAGGUCGAUUCCAGCGCUUUCUGUCUGGCCCUUAUGCAGGAGGAGUACACAGUUCAGAGGGGCUGGUGUUAGCAGGACGCCGUAGCGAAUCGCAGGAGAAGCUCCACUGACAGCAGCCGGAUGGAACAUUCGAUGCGGAUCCCCGGAAACCCGUCGGUGUGGUUCUGCUCUGCUUUCCCAGCUGUCUCUC